rnacentral:rRNA from 1 species
GUCUAUGCCCAUACCACCCUGAAGACAUCCAGUCUUGUCUGAUCUUGGAAACAGCAUGGUUGAGCAUGCUUAGUACUUGGAUGGGAGAGACU